UUCCUUCCUUCUUCCCUCCCUCCCUCCCUUCCUUCCUUUCUUUCACCUCUAUUUAGAUUUUGUCUUAGAAACAGUUUUGAAAGAAUCUAGAGGUCCCUUUUUAAACUUCCCACCUGUAGGCAUCUUGCUGAGCCUCAUCUAGGCUCUUCUUGCAAACGUCUACGAAAGAGACAGCCAUCAUCCCACAAGUCAGCCGGUUCUGAAGAGCGUGUUGGAGGGCGUUGCCUGUAUUCAGCGAGUAUCUCCUAUUAGAUUUCAUAAUCUCGUACCAACAGUGAAACUCCAAAAUCCUGUUGGAUAAAUGGCAAAAAGGAGUAUUGCGCUGACUGGAUAUUGCAUGGCGAGGGCUUCCCUUUUGCGUUAGGCUAUGUUGAUUCAGAAGUGAGUGACAGUUUACAAGUCUCCGUCAGAGAAUCGGGAGGGAAAGUACAUAAGAAGCACAGCAACAAGCCUGAGAAAUGCAAUGAGGUGUAAAAGAGAAAGAAACAACGGUGUUGUUUGCCAUCGUGACUGGCACAUUUAAAAUCAAAAUGUCGAGGAUACAUCUUUGCAAGGAUCUCUGAUCACAGCCCUCUCCAUGGUCAGCAAGGUUAUGAAACAAGUCAUCUUCUUCCUUCUUCCCUCCUUCCCUCCCUCCCUUUCUUACUUCUUGCCUUCUCUCUAAGGCUCAUCACUACGAACUUUUCAAGGAGGAGAGGUUAAUCGCUUUGGUUUGAAAUCACGAGAGAAGGCAUCAUGAGUGAGCAUUUGAGUGUUUGGUCAGUUGGGAUGGGAGAGACUGAAUCAAAGCAGGUGGCCCUGUGCCAUGAUUGUUACUGAGUCUCCUGGAGUGACUCAGUCAUGAUUAUUCAGGCUACUGUUUCACAAAGUAAACAUGCAGCCCACAGGCAGCCAUCGCUGUUGACACUUCCUUAUCCUUGACUUUGGGGAGGGUCAGAGCACUCACUGACACGCCAGGAACACUCAGCUGCCUUCAGCAAGUCUCCCAGGCGGCAGGUGGCCUUCCCAAGCCAGAUGCUCCCAGGGAGGCACCUUGCCUUCUGUGCCAUUCUGGGCGAGCGACCUGCAACUGUAUCCCCAUCUCCCUUAAAAGCAGAUUGCAGUACAAAGAGCGUGGCAAUCAGGGGGAAACAAAUAUAGGUGCCAUAUUUGUGUUUGGAACAGUGGUCACAACAGAUUCUGACUAAGCCUGUAGAUGAUGGUAGUUGAGGGUUAUCCAAAGGUUGAAGGUCACCGGCAGAGUUCGUCGGAGUCUGUUCACUCAGAGUUUCCUGCCGUGCGGGACUCAGCCACCCUCGCGCUCCUUCUGCUAGAGACUCAGAGGGAUUUGAAAGGAGAGUUUUACAGAGCAAAAGGGGGAAAUCUCAAACGGUCUUUGGUCAACAUCCUAUUCGGGGGGGAUUUCCCCGAAGGGUGGGGCUUCUGGAAGUGGUGGGGGUGGUGGGAGCGGGUCCUGGGCGAGGAGUCUUCUGAUUGAUUUCCAAAUUCGCCGGACAGUCUUCGGUCGGGUCGCUGUCCGCAGGCGCGGCACUGGGGCCUUCCCGGGCUGGGUCCGCUCGUGAAGGUUUCCUUGUUCCCCUGAGGGUCUGUCUGCUUCUCUGCUUUGGGCUCCACGUCUAGCCUAAGCCAGUGCUGCAGGACCGCCACGUGAAAGUGUGAGCUCCUCGUUCAGGAUGCACCCGUGCCUGGGGUGUGUGAUGAGUCAGCAUUCCUGAUUUGAGGAUGCUGGGGACACCCCACUGCUGCAGUGAUCAAGCACACAAUCCUUGGAGACACACAGACCUGAACUCACACCCAGUCUUCACCUCUUAUUUUGUGAUGUGGGCAAGUUGCACCCUGGUUUUCUCUCUAUUAUCAAAGACUUAAAUCCUGAAAAGACUGUGGCACUUCCAGGGGGAAUUAGAAAAAAAGCAGAAGCUAAGUAGAAGAGUAGAAGAUGGAAAGAUGGGAAGAGAGAAAAGAUGCUGAUGGAAAGCAGCUGAUGGCCAUCAAGCAUUUCUGUUACUUCUGGGGCUCUCGACUUCGGUUAGGGACAGAAGGUCACAGCCAUGGUGCAGUUUGAUUCCACUGCAGGAUUUGCACCAAAAGCCCUUCACCUCACCCUUAUGCGUGCUUUUGCUUCUUCUUGAUUCCUACCUGACCCUAAUUUUUGGAUUACUUGGGUACAGAAUCACUGUCUCAGAAAGUUGCAAAGCAACCUUCAAUGUGUUCUGUUGAAUAGCUGUGUAAAAUUUAUGUCCCGCGUACGCUGUUUGUUCAGUAAGAGAAGGAGUUAACCUAAAUAGGUUUUGAAUUUGAGUGUAACCAUUAUGACAGACAGGCAAAGAGGACAGACUGCCGAGUCCAUGAGGCAGUGAAAUGUCGUGGUCUGGAGCACACGGGUGUAUGAGAAGUGUCGGUGAUAAUGGAAAUGUUCUCCAUCUGCUCUGUCCAGUAUAAGCCAUGGGCCACGUGUGGCUUUUGAGCACCUGAACUGUGGCUAGUGCCAUCGAAGAACUGAAUCUGUAAUGUUUCGUAAUUUUUAUUAGGUUAAUUUAGAUUUUAAAUAUGGCCCCAUGUGGUUAGUGGCUACCAUAUCGGGCUGUGCAGAACAGAGUGUAAUGGUGGAAUGCAGACACUGAAGCACAAGGCCAGGGUUCGCAUCCCAACUUUGCCCUCGCUGGUCUCCCCACUGCUCAGUUCCACGGGGUCCCCAUCUGUAAGAGCCAUCAUGAAGACCAUGAGUCAACAGAUGGGAUCAAUAUAUGGAAAGUCAUACAUUGAGCCAAUGUAUGGAAUGAGUCAAUAUAUGGGAAAGAAUCAAUGUGUGAAAAGUACAUUCUAUAUAUGAGUUUGUUUUCAUUACCGCUCUUCUGGGGAGGUCAUGAGAUCUAUGUUAACUAACAGAUCACUACAUGAUUGUUUCACCUGAAUUUUGCCCUCUGUUGACUGAGCCUGGAGAGUUGUGUCAGGUCAGCAGUGGGGUUAGUCAGAGCAUCGUCUUCUGGUUCUGAGAGUUAAUGUUCCUGUGCGUUGGCAGUUUUAGCUCAUAAAGACAGCGAGGAAACUGGGUGUUUGGUUCUGCUAGAUUUAUCUCUGUUGGCAUAUUGUCUUCUACCCUCAGUUUUUGCAUCUGACAGAUGAGAAAAACUCUACCCCAUUUCUCAGGUGUCUACAUUUUAGAGUCACAUGGGGGAUGUUAAAUAGCAAUAAGUAGAUGGUUGCAUUUAAGUAGAUGAUUGCAUUUCAGACAUUUGGAACACCUUUCCCCUGGAUUGUCAUAAUUAUAACAUGGCAAGCAUUGAGUGGUUUUUCUAGGCACUGGGCUGAGUGGUUUGUGGUCAUUAUUUCCGCUGGUCUUUAAUGUGACCCUAUUAGGAGGAUAUUGUCACCAUUAUUUUAAGGGGACAGGACAGAGAGUUUAGGCAGUGUGCUCCAGGUCACGUAGGCAAUGAGCAGCAAAAAUAGGCUUGGUUCUCUUUGACUCUGAAGCUUGUAUGCUGAAGUUUGUAGAAUGGCCUUCUCUUACGGUCUGAGAACACACUUGUUAACUCUAAGUGUGUUUUCCCACAUGCUUUUAAAAAAUUCAAUAAUUAGGAAAUCAGUUUUAAACCUGGAAAACUUUUGGAAACAGGAAGCGUGGUGGCUUUGCAGAAUGAGGAGAUUGGAACAUUUUGGUUGUUUAUGCCCCUUUUGUUGAUGAAACUUCAAUCAUCUGAAAUUUACUUUGCACAGUUUUCCUUGAGAAAGCCUCUUGCUCCAGGGUUUCUUACACUGUUACCAACACAAAAUGCAAGUAGCUGGUGCUUGAGAUGAUCACACUCCCUUCCUGCUUCUUCUUUCCUCCUGGCUCUUCCCUUCCAAUGCCUAACAGCAACUCAACAAAUAUUCAUCAAACUCCUACCAUGACUGGGCUCCGUGUUGGACACCGAACAAGAUAAAACACUAAACAAGAAAAUAUGACUCCUGUUCUCAUGGGGUUUAUGGGCACUCGUGUAGUAGCCUGCAAACAUCAACUUUGGGAAAAAACUGGACCAGAAAGAACUCGUACAGCAUCUUGUGCAUAGUAGCCUCUAACAACAAAAACUUCCUCCAAAAUCCUUACUAUAAAACAGAGAUUUGGUCCCCUAGCAGCCCCUAGAUAAAUAGUGAUGUGCAGUGUGUUUUUCUCAUUAUGACACUAAAAGCCUUUAAAUUGGGUGUUUCUAGUCUAUCACAAAACUACGAAGUUAGACAUUUAUGAAUCCUGCUGAGCCCCUAACUGAGGAUUUAUGAUUUAAGUGGAACACUAGGGAGCUGUUGGGUCAAUAAAAAAAUCUCUAAAAUUCUUUAAAAAUGAUCAGAGUCGGAAACAAAAAAUAUGUUAGCAACAUUAUUUGGAUUUUAGGGACCAGGAAGUGUCAUUAGCCAUAGUGGAAGUAAAAUACACGAGAUGAAUAUUAUUGCUCAAGGAAAAUACAGAACAAAAAGGUACAGAGAGUGUAUAAAGCACACAGCACAUGUGCUUUUUAAAAAUUAUUUUAUUGCAAUAGCUAACAUAAGUUAGCUUCUCUGUGGUGCUUUAUAAAUAUAAUAAUGGCAGGUGAGACAUUAAAAGCACAACAACAAAAAAAAAACUGAAUUAUCUUUGCUACUUCAUUUUAUGAUAGCCACACCUUUCCUAAAAGGUAUUUGAAAUCAUCUUGUGAUAAUCAAUUUUUUUCGGGGGGGAUAUAAUUAAGUUUAUUUAUUUAUUUAUUUUAGUGGGGGUACUGGGGAUUGAACCCAGGACCUAAUGCAUGCUAGGCAUGCCCUCUACCACUGAGCUAUACCCUCCCCUUAAAUUUUGAUAAUUAGAUAAAGGCAUUAGGAGGGGUGGGUAUAGCUCAGCGGUAGAGCGUGUGCCUAGCAUGCACAAGGUCCUGGGCUCAAUUUCUAAACCGCCAUUAAAAAAAGAAAGAAAGAAAAGGGGCAAAAAAGGGAAGGGACUGAGGGAAGUACUAGGAAUUUUGCAUAUACGCUGGACUCCUUCCUCCACUCACUCGUUGUCCCAGGCAGAGUUCAGAUACAAAGGGUUUUGUAUAAACCUGGGCCUGUCUUACAGGGGCUAGUGGUUUCUUUAAACAAAGCACACAUAAUUCCAUCACAAGUCAAGUCAAAGGCAGUAACUGUGCCAGUUAGGCAAAGACGGGUUCCGUCACCGGGCUGUACUAAUCCGGCAGGUUUUGUGGAGGAAGUAGCAGAACUUGCGCCAGGGCCAGGGAAGCGGACGGGCUUUGGAAGAGGCCCAGAGGAAUGAAGAGCCAACGGAUGAGAGCGCACGGCGUGCCCAAGAGUAGGCGGGAGCCGGCGUUGUGGAGGUCCCCAGGCAUUGAUUCCCUGUGCUGGUGGGAGACUCGGGUUGGAAUCAUAGAGAAAUAAACAAGGGAGUAAUAAACCAGGUAGUAACGUACUGGGGAGAAAUCUGACAGGUGGGGAAGGAGCUUGGGCUUUACCUUGAGGAGCACCACUCUGGCCCCUGGUCGUGUGUGAGGCUCGCUAGGGAGCGUGAUGGAAAUGCAGAUUCUCGGGCCUCUAGUCAACCACACCAGGGACUUGAUGUGUCCUGAGGCCCUAUCAUCUGCCAUCUUUUAAAAUUCCUUAGAUGGUCCAGUCCAGGGACCAAAGUGCGGGAACCAGUGUCGCGGAUAAUGGAGAAACACAGGAACUUUCCGAGACAGAAUUUUACAAGUGGAAUUCCAAGAAGCUUAAUUUUACAGGAGUGUCCAGGAUGACUUACUGGAGAAAUAUACCUGAGUUUAGGAAAUCAGCCAGACGUUUUCUACGUCCCCAAUCUGUCCAUGAAUCUUUCCCAACAAUUAUUUAUCAAGGACCGUCUAUGUGUGAGGCUCUGUGAGAGAGAACGCAGAGGCUUUCAAUCUCGGUACCCAUCAAAAUCACCUGGGAUUUCCCUAAGAGCUCAACCUACUCCCAGGCUGCACUCCAGGCCAAUCAAAUCACAUCACGUCAAAAGCCGGACCAGAUGGCGCAAUUUUUAAAUGUCGCAGGUGAUUCCAGUGCGGCCAAUACCAAGAUCCACUGCUUUAGAGGAAACAGACCUACAGCAAUACUUCUCUUCCCUUCAGAACUUGCAAUCUCGUUGGAGAAAUUAAACACGUGUAGAAAUAAGUGAAUGUGCUUUCUGCACAGAACUCAGUUAUUGGCAGGAGAUAGGAAUUCUGAGUACUGCUUUGUGAAUUCUGGUAGACAUCAUCUCUGGGUCAAGACGGAUACCUGUGUCUGGAGGGGAAAGAGGAAUCUAAGUACAAACUGGGAGAAUUGUUUCCCCAACCUCGCUCACCGCGGGGUCCAGGUGCCACUCCAUGAGGGACCUCACACCCUCAACGCCUCAGCCUGCCCUUCUGUGAGCUGUCUUUGCAAAUCAAAGCAUCUGCUCACGUCUCUCUGCACAGGUACUGCUGGCCGUGGCCAGAUGAAAACCUAGAUUUUAAAAUUUUAUUCUAAAUUCCUGACCACAGAAGUCAAGUCAUACUGCAGUGCUGCCUGGAGGCCAUCCUUUUAAAACCCAAGUCCGGUCCUGUUGCUCCUCUGCUCAACCCUACAACGACCACAGGCCCAUUUACUCUGAGUGGAAGCAAAGUUCCUCCAAAGCCAGCAAGGCUGUGCCUGUUCCCCGUCCCUGCCCCUCCACCCCCGGGGGCUUCCUUCCCAGGGCAGAGGAACAGAAUCAUUCCUCAGGUUUCCUUAUUGUCUCAACGGCCGCACGUGCCACUCUCUUGGGUCAAGAAGGCUCAACGCCAUGGAGUCGCUCCUGGCUCCUGACUCUGCCUGCUUCAUCCUCCCUCUCAGCCUCUCCUCGGAGCUGUCUGUUAUUUCACAGCGACGUUCUUUAUCUCCACCCCGGCUCCUAGCAGAACUUCUCUAAGUUUAAAGCAAAUUCGAGGAGUGGCUGGUUGGACACGACGCCCCUGGGAGUCAGAAAGAGGAAGCUGAUACAGAGACCUCUCCGCCUUCCCCUUUCCACACCGUGGCCUUUGCUUAGUUGGCACUGUGUCUUCCUUGACGUUGAGUUUAACUGACUCCAUAAGAAGACAGGGGAAGGCAAGGGAAGGAAAAUGAGAGAAAACACCUCGGGACGUAGAACUGGCUGUGAUCUAAUUAUCCGGGUCCUUUCUGCCUGAAGCGUCAUACUUCCUCCUGGCAGUGCUUUGCCCCACUGUGGCGUAUUUACAAUGUAUCUGGCUUUGUUCUGAAUUCUCCACAUCUGUAAACUUGUAGAACCCCUGUAAGGAAGGUACUGUUCUCGUACUUAUUUCACAGAUGAGGAAAGCCAGGGGGUGAAAAGUGACCUUGAUCACACAGCUGAGAAUAAAACCAGAAUCUGAGCCCAAACCUGCAGUCCAGCUCCCCUUGUUCGGCCGUCUUUAUAUCGUGCCCAUUCUGGACGUUUACACAGCUCUCUCCGGCUUUUCCCACAACAUGCCCUCAGCAGCAAUCUCGCCCCUCCUGGGCACCCUGGUUCACCCUGUCCCCUUCCAGGCUUCAUUCAGAAGUGACUUCUCACUCUCUUCUUCGACAAUCUGAACUCUCACAGCAAUUUACCUGCCAUAGUACAUACUUAUUACCUUCUCUUCUGUAUAACCUACCCGUGUGCUCCAGCCCAGAAGCUUCCUCCAAGUAUUUCUAGGUGCUCCUGGAAAAGGAACCACUGGCACUCAGAGCCGCCUGCCAGCCAGCCCCCUCAGGCCUGUCUCAUAAAGGGAGAGAAGCACCUCCUCUUUCAUCCAUUCCUUCCUUGGGUAGAUGCUGGGGACCUGCUGUGUACCACCCUGGUGAUACAUUUGUGGUCACAACAGAUGAAAAUUUCUGCCUUAACAGCUUUCAAUUAGCAAAGAGAUCAGAUAAUAAACAUCAUAAAAAGUAAACUGCCUAGUGUGUAGAAGGAGAAAAGAGAAUAGCCAAUUAGGGUCAAGAGAAUGCUGGGGGCAGGGUGGGGGGAGUUGCAUUUUAAGUGAGUGGCCAAGGUCACACACAUUUGACUUUGUGAGGAUAAUGACAAGUUUCCUUUUAGACUUGUUGAGUAUGAGAUGCAGAUGGGUGAUGCAAAUGGCCUGGGGUCAGUGUGAGAUAAAACAACUAGACCUGAGCAGAGAGGGCAGAGCAGAAGAUAGUAGUCUCUUAAAGGUUCUCCCUGCUUCUCAUCUCUCCCCUCUAAAUUAUUCCCUGUGUUAUAUCCAGCCUGGUCUUUGUACAACACAGAUCUGGUCCCGUCACACCCCUGUUUGUCUAGAGAAUUUAUUGUCUAGAGAGUCUUUCUACUUUCACUUCCUGGUCCACUGGGGAUAAAUCAUCAAGAUGACCUUUUCACAGUGUCUUCCUCUUCACAGAGAAGGCCUUUGCAGCUUAGACAGGGAAUUGGUGCGCUACGUAGGAUAUUCCACCUUAAAUGCCAGCAGGGGCUCCUGCCCUCGAUAGUUGUGACAGCUGGUGCCCUCACAGUCUUCAGGACACGGGAAUCCCUCAGGGCCCGGGUUGGAUCUGUGAAGUCUAUUGCAGAUAUCCCUGGUUUGGACAUUGGUUGUCUGAUUGGCCCAUCAGGGUUUUUUCUGGUGGUGGAGGGAAGCAGAAUUUAAGGAUGGAAGGGGCAUGGUGAAUUACUUGAUCGAGGGGGCCAUGAGACAGGUGGCUCUCGUGCUGUGGGGGGCAAGGGAAGCAAAGCGGAACGUCAGCCUGUAAAUGACUCAAGGUUAUGAAAUCGAAACCCAGGGACAGCCAGUCACAAACAGCCCACUAGGCUUUAAGCGGCAGCGAGUCAGAAACCCCCUGACUCGGCUCCCUCACUUUCUCUGCAGAAGUUUCUCCCGGCUCCCAGCUACUUCCGGUUUGGGGCUGCCCCAUAGGAAUCGAUUUUUGCUCAGAUAAACUCUUCACAUUUUUUAUAUGCCUCAGUUUAUCUUUUAAGAGACAUUAAAGUUCUUGCAGUGCAACCUCCCACCACGCGCUGCGGGAUUACUCAAGUCAGCCCUGCCACAUGGUGGUCCAGCUCUGGCUAAACGUUCCUGUUCCGUAAGCAUGAAGCUAUUAAUUGCAGCCUCGUCUGUAACAGUCAAACUUUGGAAGCAACCAAACUAUUUAGUACAGAAGUAAGUCACCAUUAGACAAGAAGUAGAAAUUAUAUCUGUGGAUGUUUGUGAAAAGGUUUAUGAUUUUAAGUUAAAAAGGCUGAAAAUGAACUUGCAUUUAUAUUAUGCUUAAAACUGUCGACAAGAGGAUGGGCAAAUAUGCAGAAUAAAAUGCCUGGGCUCUGAGGGUAAAUUUUCUUUUAAACAUUUAUAAAUAGCGUAUAAUUUUGCUUAUUUGGUGUUCUUAUAUCAAACGAAUACAAAUAAGAAGUUGGUUUUACUUUUUUUUUUCCCCUGCUUGAAAACCGGUAAGUGUCAAGGGGGCUAAUAUUUUGGUGUGGAGAUAGUGACUUACAACGAUAUUCUCAGGGUGGGGCAGAGGCAAUGAGCAAAGGAAAAAGUUUUACGUGUAUCUGGUGAGGCAGGCAAAUACUUCAUCCCUCCCACCCCCUUUGAAAAUCGCUGUAGCUGUUUCCUGAAUUUGCAUUUGCAAUUUAACACGAGCCGGGGGAUCACAUUGAAAAGGAACA